CACAGCGCGACACACAAUACUCGCCGGAAGCGGAAGCCGCGCCGAGAGGCUCGUGUCAGUGGAAGUCGGGGUGUCGGCUGGCCGCGGUGCGAAGGCCUAGCGGUGCCUGCGGGAGGUGGAAAAGGAGGGGGGCCAGAGGUCAGUCCACAGAGAAGGUGGCGAGCUGAAGCGGCGGCCAGUUACGUGGCGGACCUGCGGGUCUCAGCUGGCACGUCACUUCCGACUGGUUGAGUUUUAGCCUUUCCAGGAUUAGGUAACCAUUCCGAGGAGGAAGAGUAUUUCAAAAGUCUGUGAAGAAUGUGUUUGCCUGGAGACUGAUUAUUAACAAGAUUUUAUGCUGAGUAUGGAAGGAAAGCUAUGUACAUAGCAGACAACAUGGCGCUUGCGCCUGUGGCUAAACAGAGGACCUGCGCACCACCUGAAAGAUGAUUGGCUGUGCCCAGAACAGGUAGCCCGAGGACACUGCGCGCUUUUUAUCAUGCUAUCAGGCUUCCUUUCACAUGUCCAGUCUGCUGAUGGGAGGAGAGGGGAUACAAAUAGGGGUAAAAAUCCGGGUAAGGAGAGAACAAUAAAGAUUCACAAGCUUGUCACUCCGUGUCUCCGGGUCGUUCUUGCUGGCGAGAGCGACACACUAACAUGGGUAUGAAUGAAAUCAUAUAUUUGUCUUUUUAAUGUCAUUCUAUUUUAUUUUAUUUAUUUUAUUAGUUUAGUUUAGUUUCAGUAUUCCAAGAUUCAUUGUUUAUGCACCACACCCAGUGCUCCAUGCAAUAUGUGCCCUCCUUACUACCCAGAACCAGGCUCACCCAAUCCCCCCCAUCCUCCUCCUCUCCAAAACCCUCAGUUUGUUUCUCAGAAUCCACAGUCUCUCAUGGUUCAUUAACACCUCCGAUUUCCCCCAAUUCACUUCUCUCCAGCUCCCAGUGUCCUCCAUGUUUUUCCUUAUGCUCCAGAAGUAAGUGAAACCAUAUGAUAAUUGACUCUCUCUGCUUGACUUAUUUCACUCAGCAUAAUCUCCAGUCCCGUCCAUGUUGAUACAAAAGUUGGGUAUUCAUCCUUUCUGAUGGAAGCGUAAUACUCCAUUGUAUAUAUGGACCACAUCUUUAUCUACUCAUCUGUUGAAGCGCAUCUUGGCUCUUUCCAUAGUUUGGCAACUCGCCAUUCCUGCUAUGAACAUUGGGGUACAGGUGGCUCUUCUUUUAACUACAUCUAUAUCUUUGGGGUGAAUAUCCAGUAGUGUAAUUGCAGGGUCAUAGGGUAGCUUUUUUUGUUGUUGUUGUUGUUUUAAAAGAUUUUAUUUAUUUAUUUGACUGAAAUCAUGAGCAGGCAGAGAGGCAGGCAGAGAGAGAGAGGGGGAAGCAGGCUCCCCGCUGAGCAGAGAGCCUGACUCGGGGCUUGAUCCCAGGACCCUGGGACCAUGACCUAAGCCAAAGGCAGAAGCUUUAACCCACUGAGCUACCCUGCCGCCCCAGUAGCUCUAUGUUUAAUUUCUUUUUAAAAAAUUUUUAUUUAUUUUUUAAAUUUCAGUGUUCCAGAAUUCAUUGUUUACGCACCAUACCCAGUGUUCCAUGCAAUACAUGCCCUCCAUAAUACCGACCACCAGGCUCACCCAACCUUCCACCCCCCACUCCUCCAAAACCCUCAGUUUGUUUUUCAGAGUCCACAGUUUCUCAUGGUUCGUCUCCCCCUCCAAUUUCCCCCAACUCCCUUCUCUUCUCCAUCUCCCCAUGUCCUCCAUGUUAUUUCUUAGGCUCCACAAAUAAGUGAAACCAUAUGAUAAUUGACUCUCUCUGCUUGACUUAUUUCACUCAGCAUAAUCUCUUCCAGUCCUGUCCAUGUUGAUACAAACGUGGGGUAUUCAUCCUUUCUGAUGGAGGCGUAAUACUCCGUAGUAUAUAUGGACAACAUCUUCCUUAUCCAUUUGUCCGUUGCAGGACAUCUUGGUUCUUUCCACAGUUUGGCGACUGUCACCAUUGCUGCUAUGAACAUUGGGGUACAGAUGGCCCUUCUUUUCACUACAUCUGUAUCUUUGGGAUAAAUACCCAGUAGUGCAAUUGCAGGGUCAUAGGGAAGCUCUAUUUUUAAUUUCUUAAGGAAUCUCCACACUGUUUUUCAAAGUGGCUGUACUAACUUGCAUUCCCACCAACAGUGUAAGAGGGUUCCCCUUUCUCCACAUUCUCUCCAACACACGUUGUUUAUUGUCUUGUUCAUUUUGGCCAUUCUAACUGGUGUAAGGUGGUAUUUCAGUGUGGUUUUGAUUUGAAUCUCCGUGAUGGCUAAUGAUGAUGAACAUUUUUUCACGUGUCUGUUAGCCAUUUGUAUGUCUUCAUUGGAGAAGUGUCUGUUCAUGUCUUCUGCCCAUUUUUUGAUGUGAUUAUCUGUUUUGUGUGUGUUGAGUUUGGGGAGUUCUUUAUUAGAUCUUGGAUAUCAGCCCUUUGUCUGUAGUGUCAUUUGCAGAUAUCUUCUCCCAUUCUGUGGGUUGCCUCUUUGUUUUGUUGACUCUUUCCUUAGUUGUGCAGAAGCUUUUGAUCUUGAUGAAGUCCCAAAGGUUCAUUUUCCCUUUGUUUCCUUUGCCUUUGGAGACAUAUCUUGAAAGAAGUUGCUGUGGUUGAUGUCAAAGAGGUUACUGCCUAUGUUCUCUAGGAUUUUGAUAGAUUCCUGCUUCACAUUGAGGUCUUUUAUCCAUUUCGAGUUUAUCUUUGUGUGUGGUGUAAGAGAAUGGUUGAGUUUCAUUCUUCUAUGCAUAGCCGUCCAAUUUUCUCAGCACAAUUUAUUGAGAGACUGUCUUUUUUCCACGGAUAGUUUUUCCUGCUUUGCGGAGGAUUAGUUGACUCUAGAGUUGCAGGUUCAUAUCUGGGCUCUCUACUCUCUUCCACUGGUCUAUGUGUCUGUUUUUGUGCCAGUACCAUGCUGUCUUGGUGAUCACAGCUUUGUAGUAAAGCUUGAAAUCAGGCAACGUGAUGCUCCCAGUUUUGUUUUUCUUUUUCAACAUUUCCUUAGCAAUUCGGGGUUUCUUCUGAUUCCUUACAAAUUUUAGGAUUGUUUGUUCCAGUUCUUUGAAAAAUGCCAGUGGAAUUUUGAUUGGAAUGGCAUUGAAAUUAUAAAUUGCUCUAGGCAGUAUAGACAUUUUAACAAUGUUUAUUCUUCCAAUCCGUGAGCAUGGCCUACUUUUCCAUCUUUUUGUGUCUUCAGUUUCUUUUUUGAGUGUUCUGUAGUUCCUCGAGUACAGAUCCUUUAUCUCUUUGGUUAGGUUUAUUCCCAGGUAUCUUAUGGUUUUUGGUGCUACAGUAAAUGGAAUCGAUUCUCUAAUUUCCCUUUCUGUAUUUUCAUUGUUAGUGUAUAGGAAAGCACUGAUUUCUGUACAUUGAUUUUGUAUACUGCUUCAUUACUGAAUUGCUGUAUGAGUUCUAGUAGUUGGGGGUGGAGUCUUUUGGGUUUUGCAUAGAAAGUAUCAUGUCAUUUGCAAAGUGAGAGAGUUUGACUUCUUCAUUGCCAAUUCAAAUACCUUUUAUUUCUUUUUGUUGUCUGAUUGCUGUUGCUAGGACUUCUAAUACUAUGUUGAAUGAGAGUGAUGAAAUUGGGCAUCCUUGUCGUGUUCCUGAUCUCAAAGGGAAGGCUGUCAGCUUUUCUCCAUUAAGGAUGAUACUCGUGGGUUUUUCAUAGAUUUUAUAAAGUUGAGGAAUGUUCCCUUGAUCCUUAUACUUUGAAGUGUUUUAAUUAGAUAAAGAUGCUGUAUCUUGUCAAAUGCUUUUUCUGCAUCAAUUGAGAGGACCCGGUGGUUCUACUUUAUUCUCUUACUGGUUUAUUCUAUCACAUUGAUUGAUCUGUGAAUGUUGAAGCACCCUUGCAUCCCAUGGAUAAAUCCCACCUGGUCAUGGUGGAUAAUCUUUUUAAUAUACUGUUGGAUCCUCUUAGCUAGGAUCUUGUUGUGAAUCUUGGCUUCUGUAUUCAUGAGGGAUGUUGAUCUGAAAUUCUCCUUUUUGAUGGGGUCUUUGCCUUAUUUCCUCUUAGGACCUCUUUUGCUGUAUCCCACAGGUUUUGAACUGUCAUGUUUUCAUUUUCAUUUAUUUCUGUUCGCUUUUUAAAUUCUUCUUUAAUUUCCUGGUUGACUCAUUUAUUUGUUAGUAGGAUGCUUCUUAACCUCCAUGUAUUUGUUCCUUCCAGAAUUUCUCUUGUGAUUGAAUUUUUAAGUGGGUAGUCUGAAAAUAUGCAUGGUAUAACCUCAUUCUUUUGGUAUUGGUUGAGAACAGAUUUGUGACCCAGUGUAUGAUGUAUUUUGAAGAAAGUUUCAUGUGCACUUGAGAGGAACGUGUAGUCUGUUGCUUUAGGAUGAAAUACUCUGAAUAUAUCUUUGAAGUCUAUCUGGUCUAGUGUGUCAUACAAAGCCCUUAUUUCUCUUCUGCUUAGAUGAUCUGUCCAUUGCUGUGAGUGGGGUGUUAAAGUCCCCUACUAUUACUGUAUUAGUAUUAAUGUGUUUUGUUAAGCUUGUUAUUAAUUGGUUUAUAUAUUUGGCUGCUCCAAGUUAGGGGCAUAAAGAUUUAUAAUUGUUAGAUCUUCUUGGUGGAUAGACCCUUUUAUUUUGAUACUGUGUCCUCCUUCAUCUCUUUACACUCUUUGUUUUAAAGUCUGAUUUCUCCAAUGUGAGGAUUGCUACCACUGCUUUCUUUUGAUGUCCGUUAGCAUGAGAAAUUGUUCUCCAACCCUCACUUUCAAUCUGGAGGUGUCUUUGGGUCUAAAAUGAGUCUCUUGUAAACAGCAUAUUGAUGGUAUCCAGUCUGAUAUCCUAUGUCUUUUGAUUGGAGCAUUUAGUCCAUUUACAUUGAGUAAUUAUUGAAAGAUACCAGUUUAGUGGCAUUGUAUUACCUGUAAAGUCACUGUUAACUGUAGAUUGUCUCUGUUCUUUUUUGAGCUUUGUUUCUUUUGGAUGCUCUCUUUCUCAGGAAAUCCCCUUUAAUAUUUCUUACAGGGCUGAUUUAGUGUUUACAAAUUCCUUUAGUUUUUGUUUAUCCUAGAAACUAUCCCUCCUUCUGUUCUGAAUGACGGCCUUGUUAGAUAAAGUAUUCUUGGCUGCAUAUUUUCCGUACUUUGCACAGUGAGUAUAUGAGGCCAGUCCUUUCUGGCCUGCCAGGUCUCUGUGGAUGGGUCUCCUGUUGGUCUGAUGUUUCUACCCUUGUAGGUUAUGGACCUCUUGUCCCUAGCAGCUUUCAGGAUUUUCUCUGAAUUUGCAAGCUUCACUAUAAUAUGUGGAGGUGUUGACCUAUUUUUAUUGAUUUUGAGGAGGGUUCUCUGUGCCUCCCAGACUUGAUUCGCUGUUUCCCACCCCAGGUUAGGGAAUUUCUCAGCCACUAUCUGUUCGGAUAAACCUCUUGUCCCUCUCCUUUUUUUCCUGAGACGCCUAUUAUUUUAAUACUAUUUUGCUUCAUGGUAUCGCUGAUUUCUUGAAUCUUUCCUUCAUGAGCCAGUAUGUUUCUCUCUCUUUUCCUCAGCCUCCUUAAUCUCCAUCAUUUUGCCUUCUAUAAUUAUCUCUUCUGCCUUGUUUAAUCCUAGCUGUUAGGGCCUCCCUUUUUUUACUGUAUCUCAGUAAUAGAAUUUUUAAUUUCAGCCUGAUUAGAUUUUAGGUCUUUUUUUUUUUUUCCUCCAGUAAGGGAUUCUCUAGUGUCUUAUAUGCUUUUUAAAACCCAGCUAAUAUCUUUUAUAAUUGUUUUGAAAACUAGUUCUGACAUCUUACUCAGAUCCAUAUUGAUUAAAUCUCUGGCAGUGAGUACUACCUCCUGUUCUUUCUUUUGGGGUGUGUUUUUCUGUCUCAUGUCCAGAAAAGAAUAAAUGAAAGAGAGAAAAAAUAGAAAAAUAACAACAACACCAGAAAAAUACAAACUAAACAAACUAGAAGAAAAGCAGAAAGAAAACAAAGUAAGAAAAAAAUCAAACAAGAAAUAAAAUGGAACAGAACAAUAAACUAGAUCCUGGGUGUAUUUUGGUCUUUGUGUUAAGGCAAUCUAGAUCCCAAAAGAGGAAAGAAAGAAAAACUUUUAUAUAUACUAAAAUAAAAUGAAAAGAAACUAAAAGUAGGAAACAUACAUUUUAUAUAUAUUAUAUAUAUUUAUAAACAUAAAUGUUACAUAUGUAUAUAAAAUAAGAAAUAUUUU